rfam:Erinaceus europaeus cont1.604109, whole genome shotgun sequence.
AGUGUACUCUACUUUUUUAGUAGAUCCGGGUAAAUAUUGAUUUGCCCCCAGUUUACCUAUCUAGCCCUAUUCCCCAGCCAUUUGCAAGCUAAGGAACUGGCCUCUGGUAGGGACCUGAUUUUUGUCUUACUUUCCGGCCCAUUUGCCCCCCUUCCUUCCUCCAAGUGGCAUUGUAAAACUCCCAGUGACAAAGAGACAGGGUCGGGUUCUGAGACCUCAGUUCCUGAGGACUUGAGUGCUGUUUUACAUACAGGUUAGACGCACGGCUAGAGGCCAAGGUCAAGUUGAAUGUUGCAGUCUAGCCUACGUGAGAACUGCCUGAAAGCCUAAGGACUCAGACAUCUGUGAAAGGCCUACGUCCCCUCA